rfam:Nippostrongylus brasiliensis genome assembly, scaffold: NBR_scaffold0001166
GUCUCAGUAGCAAAGUGGUUAAUGCACAGCCCCGGAUAGGUUGAGACACGCGGGUUCGAAUCCCGCGUGAGAUG